UUCCGGUUGAUUCUGCCGGACCCCACUGCUAUCGAGGUGGGACUAAGCCAUGCUAGUCGAACGAACAGAACUAUGUCUGUUAGUGGCAUACUGCUCAGUAACACGUAGCUAACCUACCCUUAGGACGUUUAUACCCCCGAGAAAUUGGGGCUAAUAAGCGAUAGAUAUGAUGUCCUGGAAUGGUAUCAUGUCUAAAGGUAUAUCAUACAUGUUUGAUAUACGCCUAAGGACGGGGCUGCGGCUGAUCAGGCUGUUGGUGAGGUAAUGGCUCACCAAACCAUUGACCAGUACGGGCCAUGAGAGUGGUAGCCCGGAGAUGGACACUGAGACAAGGGUCCAGGCCCUACGGGGCGCAGCAGGCGCGAAACCUCCUCAAUGCACUAAAGUGCGAAGGGGUUACCUCGAGUGCCAUCUGAUGAAGGUGGCUUUUCCUUGGUCUAAAAAGCCUAGGGAAUAAGAGGGGGGCAAGACUGGUGUCAGCCGCCGCGGUAACACCAGCCCCUCGAGUGGUGGGGAUGAUUAUUUGGCCUAAAGCGUCCGUAGCCGGCCGGGUAAGUUUCCCGUUAAAUCCAACGUCUCAAGCGUUGGACUGCGGGAAAUACUGCCUGGCUAGAGAGUGGGAGAGGUCAGCGGUAUUCUGGGGGUAGGGGCGAAAUCCUUUGAUUCCCGGAGGACCACCAGUGGCGAAGGCUGCUGACUAGAACACGUCUGACGGUCAGGGACGAAAGCUGGGGUAGCGAACCGGAUUAGAUACCCGGGUAGUCCCGGCCGUAAACGAUGCAUGCUAGGUGUUGGGUUGGCCACGAGCCACCCCAGUGCCGCAGGGAAGCCGUUAAGCAUGCCGCCUGGGAAGUACGAUCGCAAGAUUGAAACUUAAAGGAAUUGGCGGGGGAGCACCACCAGGCGUGAAGCCUGCGGUUUAAUUGGAGUCAACGCCGGG
rnacentral:rRNA from 1 species